rfam:Streptomyces sp. IB2014 011-1 STIB_1, whole genome shotgun sequence.
CGCGUCGUGGCCGGCUGCGACGUAAAAGCUUUUGAUUACUUGCUUUUGAUUACUGGGGAAAUAACCCAACCCAACCCUGACGGCCGUCGGCUACCCCUGGACGCGCGAGAGCGCGCGUAUGCGCGCGAGGGCGCCGUCACUCACAUGGGUGAACUGUGCCAACCGGGCUGGAUUUUGGCCCUGUUGGCGGGCAUAUGCUCACGCUGACCACAACCGCAGACAUGAGACGGCCCCCGGCCGGGACUGGCAUCCCGACCGAAGGCCUGACCACCGAGGAAGAUAGCGACUUCCCA